ACGAACGCUGGCGGCAUGCCUAACACAUGCCAGUCGAACGAGACCUUCGGGUCUAGUGGCGCACGGGUGCGUAACGCGUGGGAACCUGCCCUUAGGUUCGGAAUAACUCCCCGAAAGGGGUGCUAAUACCGGAUAAUGUCUUCGGACCAAAGAUUUAUCGCCUUUGGAUGGGCCCGCGUUGGAUUAGCUAGUUGGUAGGGUAAAAGCCUACCAAGGCGACGAUCCAUAGCUGGUCUGAGAGGAUGAUCAGACACACUGGGACUGAGACACGGCCCAGACUCCUACGGGAGGCAGCAGUGGGGAAUAUUGGACAAUGGGCGAAAGCCUGAUCCAGCAAUGCCGCGUGAGUGAUGAAGGCCUUAGGGUUGUAAAGCUCUUUUACCCGGGAUGAUAAUGACAGUACCGGGAGAAUAAGCUCCGGCUAACUCCGUG
rnacentral:rRNA from 1 species